GACGUAGGAGGCGAGCGUUGUCCGGAUUCAUUGGGCGUAAAGAGCGCGCAGGCGGCUUGGUAAGUCGGAUGUGAAAUCCCGGGGCUCAACCUCGGAACUGCCUUUGAUACUGCGGGUCUUGAGUCCGAUAGAGGUGGGUGGAAUUCCUAGUGUAGAGGUGAAAUUCGUAGAUAUUAGGAAGAACACCAGUGGCGAAGGCGGCUCACUGGCCCGGUACUGACGCUGAGGCGCGAAAGCGUGGGGAGCAAACAGG
rnacentral:rRNA from 1 species